GAUGAACGCUGGCGGCGUGCCUAAUACAUGCAAGUCGAGCGAACAGACGAGGAGCUUGCUCCUCUGACGUUAGCGGCGGACGGGUGAGUAACACGUGGAUAACCUACCUAUAAGACUGGGAUAACUUCGGGAAACCGGAGCUAAUACCGGAUAAUAUAUUGAACCGCAUGGUUCAAUAGUGAAAGACGGUUUUGCUGUCACUUAUAGAUGGAUCCGCGCCGCAUUAGCUAGGUGGUAAGGUAACGGCUUACCAAGGCAACGAUGCGUAGCCGACCUGAGAGGGUGAUCGGCCACACUGGAACUGAGACACGGUCCAGACUCCUACGGGAGGCAGCAGUAGGGAAUCUUCCGCAAUGGGCGAAAGCCUGACGGAGCAACGCCGCGUGAGUGAUGAAGGUCUUCGGAUCGUAAAACUCUGUUAUUAGGGAAGAACAAAUGUGUAAGUAACUAUGCACGUCUUGACGGUACCUAAUCAGAAAGCCACGGCUAACUACGUG
rnacentral:rRNA from 1 species